UACGUAGGUGGCAAGCGUUAUCCGGAUUUAUUGGGCGUAAAGGGAACGCAGGCGGUCUUUUAAGUCUGAUGUGAAAGCCUUCGGCUUAACCGGAGUAGUGCAUUGGAAACUGGGAGACUUGAGUGCAGAAGAGGAGAGUGGAACUCCAUGUGUAGCGGUGAAAUGCGUAGAUAUAUGGAAGAACACCAGUGGCGAAAGCGGCUCUCUGAUCUGUAACUGACGCUGAGGUUCGAAAGCGUGGGUAGCAAACAGG
rnacentral:rRNA from 1 species